CAAAAAAAAAAAAAAAGACUCAAACUGGAAGACAGAAUGAUCUCGUAGAGAAAACAAAAUGAACAAUAGGAGAAGAGAGCUCAAAGAUAUUUGGGACAAUAUCAAAUGAUCUAAUAUUCAUGUCACUGCAGUCAAACAAUGAGUGAAGAAAGAGAAAGAGAUUGGUACAGAAAAAAAUAUUUAAAGAAAGAAUGGCUGAAAACUUCCUUAUAGAAGUUCAUCAAAUCCCAAGCAAAAUAAACUCAAAGAAAAGAACACCCACGCAAUAAUGAAACUGCCAAAAAUCAAAAAUAAAGAAAAACAAUCUUGAGACUAGCCGGAGAAAAUCAACACAUGCGGUUCUGGAGACAAAAGGGGCCGCGGCGGCCGGAGCGGGACGGGCCCGGCCGCGGGAGGGAGCGAAGCAGCGCGGGCAGCGAGCGAGAUGCAGCACCGAGGCUUCCUCCUUCUCACUCUCCUCGCCCUGCUGGCGCUCACCUCCGCAGUGGCCAAAAAGAAAGACAAGGUGAAGAAGGGCGGCCCGGGGAGCGAGUGUGCGGAGUGGGCCUGGGGGCCCUGCACCCCCAGCAGCAAGGAUUGCGGCGUGGGUUUCCGCGAGGGCACCUGCGGGGCCCAGACCCAGCGCAUCCGGUGCAGGGUGCCCUGCAACUGGAAGAAGGAGUUUGGAGCUGACUGCAAGUACAAGUUUGAGAACUGGGGUGCGUGUGAUGGGGGCACAGGCAUCAAAGUCCGCCAAGGCACCCUGAAGAAGGCGCGCUACAAUGCCCAGUGACAGGAGACCAUCCGCGUCACCAAGCCCUGCACCCCCAAGACCAAAGCCAAGGCCAGAGCCAAGAAAGGGAAGGGAAAGGACUAGAGGCCAAGCCUGGAUGCCAAGGAGCCCCUGGUGUUACAUGGGGCCUGGCCCACGCCCUCCCUCUUCCAGGCCCGAGAUAUGACCCACCAGUGCCUUCUGUCUGCUCGUUAGCUUUAAUCAAUCAUUCCCUGCCUUGUCCCUCUCACUCCCCAGCCCCACCCCUAAGUGCCCAAAGUGGGGAGGGACAAGGGAUUCUGGGAAGCUUUAGCCUCCCCCAAAGCAAUGUGAGUCCCAGAGCCCGCUUUUGUUCUUCCCCACAAUUCCAUUACUAAGAAACACAUCAAAUAAACUGACUUUUUUUCCCCCCAAUAAAAAAAAAAAAAAAAAAAAAGAAAA